CCUUGUUUAAUUUCACCCAAAAUCUAAAAACUUUUCAAGAUUCUCCAUCACAUCAAAUCUUACAACACAUGCAUGGAGUAUUAAAUAUAGAUAAAAAAACUAAUUGCACAGUUUACAUGUAAUUUACAAGACGAAUCUUUCGAUCCUAGUUAGUUCAUGGUUGGACGAUAAUUGCCAAAUACAAACAAAAGUGUUACAAUACAAAAGUGUCGAGCCAUCGAGUUGUUUAUCCUCCGUGGACAAGAGUCGCCGCCAUGGCAAGCAGGUCGGUGUGGGCGGGCACUGAGUCUCGUCCUCAAGACAUCAACCCCCUUAUGGCAAGUCACCAUGGAGAUUAUUGAAGGACAAAUCCAGUCUUGACAACAAUGUCAAGUUCAUCAGAGAUUGAGGUAUGGUUCCCUCAAAUGAGUUGUGAUCCAACAACAGCCGUUCUAGUGAAAUGCAAUUCCCAAUACUAUCAGGUAUGCUGCUUGAUAACUGGUUUCCUGAUAGAAUCAGUUGGUUAAGGUUCGUCAAGCUACCAACUUCAACUGGAAGUGGCCCAGACAAUGAAUUGUAUGAUAAGUCUAAGUAGAAAGAAAGUUGAGGAAGUUUUAGCACCUCUUUGGGAAUUGAUCCGUUGAGUCGAUUUGUUGACAGAUCAAGGACAAAAAGAUUCUUCAAGUUUCCCAGGCUUGUUGGAAUGGGCCCUUCUAGAUUGCCAUAGUAUGCAUAAAGGACAUUUAACUGAGUAAGAUUUCCUAGUGAUGGAGGUAUGAGGCCUGACAAGCUAGUGUUGUAAAGCCCCAACUCAACCAAGUUUUUUAGUCUCCCAAUGCUCUCUGGAAUUGGUCCAGAUAUGGAGCUAUUUGCCAUCUCAAGUAAUUUCAGACCAACCAAAUUGCCGAUGUUUGAUGGAAUAGCCCCAGAAAUCCUAUUGUCUCCCAAAUAAAGAGUUUCAAGAGUUGUUGAUAGGUUUGCGAUUGAAACAGGCAGUUCCCCGCUGAAAUGAUUCUCGGAAAGAGCUAGAUUCUGAAGUUGGCUGCAGUUUGUUAGCGAGGUGAGGAAUUCCCAACCUUCCCUGUCGUUCGCUUCUAGCUUGUUGACAUGCAAGUACAACAAGACGAGACCUUGCAACCUUCCCAAAGUAGGAGGCACAUGUCCAAUAAAACUAUUUUCUGAGAGCUCGAGGUUUUUCAGAGUAGAGAGGUUGGAGAGCGAAUGCGGAAUAGCUCCCCAAAAUUGGUUCUCAGCAAUGGCAAUACCUUCGAUGUUGAGGAAUCUAUUGCCGACAUCAGCAGGAAUACUUCCAGACAGCAUGUUUGUAGAUAGGUCCAUGUGUUUCAACAUGGACAAAUUGUACAGGGAAUGUGGCAGCACACCUGAGAUGUUGUUAUCGAAGAGAUAAAGGAGCUUUAGGCCUUCCAUGCUGCCGAACUCUGGUGGUAUCUGGCCCUCGAGCUUGUUGCUACCAAGAUCAAGACAGUACAGAGAUGAUAUGUUAGCGACUGAUACUGUUAGAUUAUUUAUUGAACAUUUUUUAUUAUAAAACUUAUUUACACAUAUAAAUGUUGUUAAUAUUUUCUAUAAAGCAAGUCAAAUUUAAUAAACAUUGAUAUGCACAAAACCCUAGUAGAUAAUCUUUUUAGAACUCUGAUUGCUAUUGGUUACUUGCAUUAGCUUAUAUCUAGGCUUGUGUAGUGUGGUUUGCCUUUGUUUGAUUGCUUGCAGAGGCUUUUAUGUAGGCUUGUACCGUGCAAAACAGAUUAAUGCGGCAUAUUAGAUAAUAUAGAUUUGCAUAAACCGAUGGACACAACAAAACUAAAUACUUUCAUAUUCUCUACUUUUGCUAGAAACAAGAGACAUCUAAUAGAAUAUAUACGAUGAUUAUACAUAAUAAAAUAUAAAUAAACAAACAUGAUUUUAUUGGAUGUGGCUUGCCUAUGCAGGAUAACUAUAAACAUAAAGACAUUGCAUACAUGGGCUAUUUACACAGGAUUUGGUUGGCUUCGCGGUACUUGGCACAGGUGGCCAAGGUUUAUCUUCUCCUAGGCAUGUGGGUGGCGCUCUAGUAUGUGGAUCGAUAGUCGCUAGAGUGUGUGUGGCCACCUCUUUUAUUUGGCUAUGUGCUUCUUGUCAAGCAGAGGCCAGAAGAAUUCUCUUCAAAAUUUUUAUAUCAACUCGAUGUAAUACAUUUGAAAAUUUUAUAAAAUCUUCCUUUAUUAAAAAAUGGUCUUAGGUUGUUGUGUUGCAUAAGGUUUAAUGCAAGCUAAGCCUAAUACAAGCAACCAAUUAGGGUAUGUGUAUGUCACUAGUAGAGAACAGACCUUCCGUUUAGCAUAUUAGUCCUAAGAUUAAUAGGCGUCAAGGACCUUUAGUCCUGGUUGGUAACACAUUAGUCCAGACUCAAGAGCCUUGACCUACCAAUCAGGACUAAAGGUCUUUCAACAAGGAGUUAGUUCAAAAGGAGAGCAUCCCAUCUACAGUCACAUGUUUUGUAUAGGUGAAGUGGAAAGCUACACGUGAAGCAAUGCAUGAGGCCAUCGUGUUUAAGUCAUAAGGGUGGGAGACAUUAUUUUUUAGCCUCGAGGGACCCAUCCCGAAUUUCCAACCUGGACUAUGGACUAAAGGGGUUUUCUAACGGGACUGUAACUAAGACCGAGACCCAAGUUUCCAGAUAUUAGUUUGGUAUCUACCAUACUACCCAAAUUGUUUAUGUCUAGUUUGGUUAUAUGCCUUGGGUAACCGAACUAACCAAAUAAUUUGGACUUUGUUAACAUAAUAUGUACUUUGAACUAUUAUUACUAGUGAUGUAAUAUUCAUCUAUUGGGUUUAUAUCGAUCAUCACUUUUGUCACUUUGUUUUAUCUAUAUGUUGUCUUGUCAUUUUUGCCUCUAAAUAAAAAUGCUGCUAGAAAUUAUGCUAUUUUAUGGUUGUAAGUUAUUUCGGUCAUGACCAAGAUCAAACCAAACUAACUGAGGAAGAAUUUGCUUGUGGUCCUGAGUUUAUAAACUAAUCGAUCAGCUUUUAUUUUUAGGUGACCAAACUUUCAAAAUAAUUGAAGAAGUCUGGUCCUACCCAACACUCUAGUUUCAUUAACUAGCAAGAUAGUCCGCACAAAUAGAGGGGCAAGAGGCUAGAUUAGCCUCUCGUGUUCGCGUUAUAAGAACACGUUGGGUACAGGUACUCUUGACAUGCCUGGCCAGUGAGAAUGGCACCGCGGGGAUUCGAACAUGGGUUGCUCGCACAAAUAGCAUGAGUAGCUAACUACAUCUUUUCGUCAUUGUAAUUUUUUUACUUAGAUAUCUCUCAAAUAGUCUUGUUGUUUGUUUGAUUAUAUAAUUAUCCUCUCUACAGGCUCUAGUAUUACAUCCAUAAUUUUUUGACCUAAUUCUUUGAAUUAAAAGAUGUCGUCAUCCUCCUCUCAUUUUCUCUCCACUUAUAUCUCGUGGUUGUGCAACCACUUAUUCCCUUUCAGUGACCUCCAAUAUUCCUUGAUAAACCAUUGUUCAAAUUUCUCACAAAUUAUUAUCUAGUUUCUUGGCCCUCUUAUAAAUUUAUGCAUUGGAUUAUCUGCUCGCACCUUUCUCUUACGUUCCUCCUCUUAUUUGUCUGUACAACCUUUUGCCCUUAAAAUAUCUUCAUAUUCACCACAAUGUUGUUCAUGUAUGUUGUAGCCAUUGCUGCCUCAAGCAGUCAAUGGCCGGCUCUAUCAUUAUGCCAACAUUCACCGAUGCCUCAAGCCUCCCAAAUACUCCCUCCGUCCCAAAAAGAGUGUCGUUUUAGGUUUUCGUGCCACAAGUUUGACUCGAUUUGUAGAAAAUAUGUGCAAUAUUUUUAUCUUCAAAUAAAUUUGUUAAAAAACUAGACUUUAAGAUCUUUCCAAUGAUACAAAUUAUGUACUAUAAAUAUUAAUAUUUUUUACUACAUAUUUAGUUAAAGUUAUUUCUUGUGAAGCGCAAACGACACUUGUUUUGGGACGAAGGGAGUAAACAGUGGAACUGUUACUGACGCCACUAAUAAGCUAGUAGUACUAAUCUACAUGUCAUUCUACCACCUGCUACCUUUGUCAUUCUACCGGCACCAUCGAUCACGCCGUGGUGGGCGGCACCAGCAAGUUCAGGCUGGCACACGGGUACAUUACAUGAUUUUCAUGAUAAACCUCUUCGUGCUCAUGCACCCUACUGGCAUCUACUAGCGCGCACCUUGAGACUUGAGUGAGUGGCUACCGCAUUAUUGGGCAGUGGGUGAAGUGUCUAUGUCCAAUCAACAUCAGAUCGAUCAUACUGUUUUCGACGACUGAUGUACAUUCAACUGUUUCAGAUUUGUUUCUCUUGAUAAAACCCAAUAAUCAUGCAAUUUCCUUGUCCUCUGAAAAAAAAAAGUACAGGCCAUUUCCUUGGCCUGAAUUGACGUGUUUGUUUCUUGGCCAGAGUAGAUCAUCAGCCUUUGCUUAUUCCUGCUGGGCUUCCUUAUCUCUAUGUUCUUCCUAAUCCAAUGAUGAACUGUAUAGGGUCAGCAGAUACACCUUCAGCUCUCCACCGAUCCAUCAUCGCUCUACACCUUCAGCUUGAAAAAAUUAUAGCAGCCAAUCAAGCAAUUAGUUUGCCAAAUCCAAAUAAGAAAACCUGCUAAUGCACAACUUCACCAGCGUGCAAUGGUACAAGAAGCUUUUUCUUUUUUUGAGAACGCGCUUAGCACGUGUUUCCACAAUGGUACUAAAAGCUAGUAUAACAAAUAACAGUUGUGUUGAUUUUUUUUUUGAGCGAAAGUUGUGUUGAUUUUCAUCUUUGUCAUAGCUAUGAAAGAAGGUUCUAAACCGUACAAUGAUUUAUUUCAACACUGGGCCUCCUGCUUCGCAGCUUCUAUGAUCUUGAACAUCAGAAAUUAAUCAGAAUAUAAGAGGGUUCGCGGCUUGCUUGCUUCUCUUCCAGAUCCCCAUCCAGCUAGCUGGCAACCAUGAGGUACGCGUCUCUGAUCGCACGCAUCUCCACAGCAGCAUCUCGCAUCGCCAUUCGCUCACUUGGCUGCUGCUUUGAGCAGGAUACGCCGAGCCGGAUCACUGAAACCAAGCACUCCUUGCUCUGGCUUCUUACUGUGGUAGCAACAGCCGCUUCAUCAUGCAGCCAGAUUGCUGGGUCGGCUAUCUCCGAGGCUCCGUUGAGAAGAGCAGCUUUGGCGAAACUAUGAAGGUCCAAUGAGUCAUUGAACAUGUCGUCAGUAGGGCUCCUUCCGGUGAACAUCUCGAGCAACAGUAUCCCAAGGCUGUAGACAUCCCCAAGAGUCGAGACAGAUCGACCCUCACCAUACUCUGCAGUGUCAUUCAGAUUUCAGACAUCAUUUUAUUUCGUCAGUGGAUUCAGUACACAUGCAGAGAAGGUAACAACAUGAGUACGAGCUUCUGUUACCUGGAGCGACAUAACCAAUGGAGCCCCUCAGUCCAGUGAAGCUGACUGAAUUUAGCAGAGUUUUACUACUUUCAUCAGAAAGGAUUUUCGAUAUGCCGAAAUCUCCAACCCGGGCACUCAUAUCCUCUGCAAGGAGGAUGUUACUUGGCUUGAGGUCACAGUGGAUUACUGGUGGCUGACACUGAUUGUGAAGAUAUUCCAGAGCAUCCAUGAUGUCUACAGCAAUGUCUAGUCUCUGAGCUAGGCUGAGCGUAUUACUCAGAGUGUGUACUUUAGAUGCUGGAUGCAGCCAAUCAUUCAGACUACCGUUUGGCAUGAACUCAAAAACCAGCGCCUUGAAUUCUUCACCUUGAUGAUUGAUGCUUGAGCAACAAGUGAUGAUCUUUAUGAGACAACGGUGACGUACCCUUCGUAGUGCCUCACAUUCAGCUACGAAACUUCUAGUAGACCCGGAUUGUCGUAUGUUAAACACCUUCACAGCUGUGGUAAUACCCUGAUCAUGCAAAGUACACUUAUAGACAGCACCAUAACUCCCUUGUCCGAGCAAAUUAGCCUCUGAGAAACCACCAGUUCCAUUUGACAAUGCUUGAUACGAAACCCUUUCGUACUGCUCGUCAAUUACUGUGGAAACGAGUUCGCUUGCAUUUGUUUGUCUGAACCUCUUGUGGAUGAAAUAAAUAAAAGUAACUAUUACACCUAAGAAUACAAGUGCGCCGAGUGAUGUUAGGGUGACCAUAAGGGAUCUUGACACUUGCCUUUUGCUCUUCUUCACAGCAGCUCUGGAGCAUGGAGCUAAAUGUAGUUGGGGGGCUCCACCACAAAGCUCAUCAUUUCCAUGAAUCGACAAGGCCGUUGCAUUUGCAAAAACACCGCCUUUUGGCACUUCACCUUGGAGAUCAUUGAAGGACAAAUCCAGUUUCCACAAUAGUGUCAGGUUCUGUAGAGCUGUGGGGAUCAAACCUGAAAGAUUGUUAUGUGCUAGACACAAUCGUUGCAGGUUGCCAACGCUAGCAAUGGCCUCAGGGAUACUACCAGACAGCUUAUUCAUGGUCAGGUUCAGUAAGGCGAGACCUUUUAAGUUCUUCAGAGAUUGAGGUAUGGUUCCCUCAAAUGAGUUGUGAUCCAGCAGCAGCUGUUCCAGUGAAAUGCAAUUCCCAAUACUAUCAGGUAUGCUGCUUGACAACUGGUUUCCUGAUAGAAUCAGUUGGUUAACAUUUGUCAAGCUACCAACUUCCACUGGGAGUGGCCCAGAUAAUGCAUUGUAUGAUAAGUCUAAGUACCAAGAAAGCUGAGGAAGUUUUAGCACCUCCUUGGGAAUUGAACCAUUGAGCCGAUUUGUUGACAAAUCGAAGACAAAUACAUUCUUCAAGUUUCCCAGGCUUGCUGGAAUGGGCCCUUCUAGAUUGCCAUAGUAUGCAUAAAGCCUAUUUAACUGAGUAAGAUUUCCUAGUGAUGGAGGUAUGAGGCCUGACAAGCUGGUGUUGUAAAGGCCUAACUCAACCAAGUUUUUUAGUCUCCCAAUGCUCUCUGGAAUUGGUCCAGAUAGAGAAGUUACUGCCAUGUAUAGUAUUUGCAGACCAACCAAGUUGCCAAUGUUGGAUGGAAUAGUCCCAGAAAUCCUAUUGUCUCCCAAAUAAAGAGUUUCAAGAGUUGUUGAUAGGUUUGCGAUUGAAACAGGCAGUUCCCCGCUGAAAUGAUUCUCGGAAAGAACCAGAUUCUGAAGUUGGCUGCAGUUUGUUAGCGAGGUGAGGAAUUCCCAACCUUCCCUGUCGUUCGCUUCUAGCUUGUUGCCCAGCAAGUACAACAAGACGAGACCUUGCAACCUUCCCAAAGUAGGAGGCAC
rnacentral:lncRNA from 1 species